rnacentral:rRNA from 1 species
GACGAACGCUGGCGGCGUGCUUAACACAUGCAAGUCGAACGGUGAUGAUCAAGCUUGCUUGGUCUGAUCAGUGGCGAACGGGUGAGUAACACGUGAGUAACCUGCCCCAGACUCUGGGAUAACCCCGGGAAACCGGAGCUAAUACCGGAUAUGACAUGCCCCUGCAUGGGGAGUGUGUGGAAAGUUUUUUCGGUCUGGGAUGGACUCGCGGCCUAUCAGCUUGUUGGUGAGGGAAUGGCUCACCAAGGCGACGACGGGUAGCCGGCCUGAGAGGGCGACCGGCCACACUGGGACUGGGACACGGCCCAGACUCCUACGGGAGGCAGCAGUGGGGAAUAUUGCACAAUGGGCGAAAGCCUGAUGCAGCGACGCCGCGUGAGGGAUGACGGCCUUCGGGUUGUAAACCUCUUUCAGCAGGGAAGAAGCGCAAGUGACGGUACCUGCAGAAGAAGCACCGGCUAACUACGUGCCAGCAGCCGCCGCCGUAA